rnacentral:rRNA from 1 species
UACAGAGGGUGCAAACGUUGCUCGGAUUCACUGGGCGUAAAGGGCACGUAGGCGGGUGGGUAAAUCAGUUGUGGAAUACCAUCGCUCACCGGUGGAAUUGCAACUGAAAAUGCCUGUCUUGAGCGCAGGAGGGGUGAGGGGAACUCUAGGUGGAGCGGUGAAAUGCGUAGAUAUCUAGAGGAACGCCGGAGGCGAAAGCGCCUCACUGGCCUGCUGCUGACGCUGAGGUGCGAAAGCCAGGGGAGCAAACGGG